AACGAACGCUGGCGGCAGGCUUAACACAUGCAAGUCGAGCGCCCCGCAAGGGGAGCGGCAGACGGGUGAGUAACGCGUGGGAAUCUACCCAUCUCUACGGAAUAACGCAUGGAAACGUGUGCUAAUACCGUAUACGUCCUUCGGGAGAAAGAUUUAUCGGAGAUGGAUGAGCCCGCGUUGGAUUAGCUAGUUGGUGGGGUAAAGGCCUACCAAGGCGACGAUCCAUAGCUGGUCUGAGAGGAGGAUCAGCCACACUGGGACUGAGACACGACCCAGACUCCGACGGCAGGCAGCAGUGUGGAAUAUCGGACGAUGGGCGCAAGCCUGAUCCAGCCAUGCCGCGUGAGUGACGAAGGCCCUAGGGUUGUAAAGCUCUUUCACCGGUGAAGAUAAUGACGGUAACCGGAGAAGAAGCCCCGGCUAACUUCGUGCCAGCCGCCGCGGUAAAAC
rnacentral:rRNA from 1 species